GGGGAUGUAGCUCAGUGAUAGAGCGUGUGCUUAGUGUACACGAGGCCCUGGGUUUGAUCCCCAGCACCUCCA